UCGCCUGCUGAAGCAUAAUUAUGCUUAAUUUCCAGGGGAGGGGGAGCCCUCCAAAGGCCUUUAGCUCCCCAGGCUCCAAAUUAGCUAAGUGCACCUCUGUCCCCACACAGGGCAGGAGCGAGAGCUGACAAUACAAAGCAACGGAGAAGCCCAGGGUUUUAGCAUCAUUGUGACCGGGUGGCAGCGGCAGAUGUAUGCCCCCCUCCCCUCCCCAAAACAAACGGUAGCUGCAAAAAACAGGAGUUUCCCUUCUUCAGACAAUGAGACAAAGUAGUACAGUAUUUUCUUAUAUCUGUGUGUUCAAGUCAACACAACACACGCGUCCAACGGAGCGGAGGAGAAAGGUUUCAGGAAAAACUGCAUGAGCCAAACAAGCACAUGGAAGGGCAAGCUCCCUUCAGAACAUUCAAACAUGCUACUAACCCAACAGGAUCAAAAUAUUUUAAAAAGUGUUAUUACAAAGAUCAAAGGAAAAGACUCGGCAUUAAGAAAGUAAAAACUUGCAAAUUGGCUUCUAGCCCCAUAGGCCUAAUUUGCAUUGAUGCUUACAGGUUACAAUUUUUCUAGGGCAGCUUAACCAGGGAGGAACAAACAGGACUGGCUGCAGUCCACUGGAAAGAGAGGGAACAAUGGGAGAGAGAUGUGACUUCACCAAACCAGAUGAGAGUAAAUAGGGCCAAAGUUUUCCCUACAGCCAAUAGGACAGGAGUGCACAACUCAAAUGCCCCAGUGGGCCAGAACCAACCGUGACUUGCUGUGUGGGGGCCAAGGACAAUUUUCAGCACAUUAAUUAUUGCAUUAAAAUUAAUUAUUAAAAAUAUAAGUGAAAGUGAGGGGCAGAGGUUGGAGUCGGGGGGAAAGGGGAUGGUGUCAGUGGGCUCUGGUCCAGAAGGGGACAUCUGAUCUCAAGCCAACUGUAUUGAUCCGCUGCUGCUUGUCAGCGGGACAGGCCAAGAGUUCUUCAUGGCUCUUGCUGUUGCUGCAGGAUAUUCCUACCUGUGGCCCAGGGAAAAGGUCCAUGAGGGCCAUAUCCAGCCCCCAGGCCUUAUGUUGUGCAGGCCUCCUGCAAUAGGUGAUGACAUCCCUCAGUUUCAUCGAGCCAGCAGCACAGUUGCUGAGGUAAUCAACCUCACUGGUAGCUUAACUGAUGGACAAGGCCAUGGGGUCUCUGUGUCUCCUGGUUACAUCCCCAAGCAGAAGGGCUGAAUGAAAGGUUAAAAUGUAUUGCCUCCAGCAAACUAGAACUGAUAAACUGAAAGAAAGAAAAACAAAUUGUCUGUGCGGGGAGAGAGGCUACCCCCCCGCCCCCAACCUCUGAUGUCUCUCCGCCACCUCCACUGCGAACUGGACCAGACCUGGUUCAGCCAAGACCGGACUGGGUCGGUUCAAAUCCGGAUCAGAUUAGAACCAAACUGGCAAAACCGGCUCCUAUAUACUGGUUCUCCACACAUGCAUAUUUUCCUUCUGUUCACAAGGUGGCAGCAUUUACUUUCAGAAUAUAUUAUGUUUUUAUUGGCGUAAUAAUAUACUAGGCUCAGUUGAGCUUUUCUCUGAACUAUGAUAGUGCCUAUAAUUGUUAAAAUAAAAGUUUCAAACAAA